rnacentral:rRNA from 1 species
GACGUAGGGGACGAGCGUUGUCCGGAUUUAUUGGGCGUAAAGCGCGCGCAGGCGGCCCGGAAAGUGGGAUGUGAAAACUCGAGGCUCAACCUCGGGCCUGCAUUUCAAACUCCCGGGCUAGAGGCAGGUAGGGGAGAGCGGAAUUCCUGGUGUAGACGGUGGAAAUGACGCAGAGUAUACAGGAGGAACACCGGGUGGCGAAGGCGGCUCUCUGGGCCUGUUCUGACGCUCAGGCGCGAAAGCUAGGGGAGCGAACAGG